rnacentral:rRNA from 1 species
UGGGGAAUAUUGGACAAUGGGCGAAAGCCUGAUCCAGCCAUGCCGCGUGUGUGAAGAAGGUCUUCGGAUUGUAAAGCACUUUAAGUUGGGAGGAAGGGCAGUAAGCGAAUACCUUGCUGUUUUGACGUUACCGACAGAAUAAGCACCGGCUAACUCUGUGCCAGCAGCCGCGGUAAUACAGAGGGUGCAAGCGUUAAUCGAAUUACUGGGCGUAAAGCGCGCGUAGGUGGUUCGUUAAGUUGAAUGUGAAAGCCCCGGGCUCAACCUGGGAACUGCAUCCAAAACUGGCGAGCUAGAGUAGGGCAGAGGGUGGUGGAAUUUCCUGUGUAGCGGUGAAAUGCGUAGAUAUAGGAAGGAACACCAGUGGCGAAGGCGACCACCUGGGCUCAUACUGACACUGAGGUGCGAAAGCGUGGGGAGCAAACAGG